GACAGAAACACUGGAGGAGAGAGCCUGAGAGAAAGAAAGACACCAGAAAGAUAAAGAAGAGAGAUGAAGAAUUCAUGCAUGCAUCCACAUUUGAAGAAGAAUAGAGCGUUUAGGUGCUGCUGGAGGGAAGAGCCAAGCCAUACAUCAGAAGAAAUAUGAGUAUAUGUGUGUUCGUCAGAUUUCAUACAAAGAUGAUGGAGUUUCAUCUUCCUGCAGAAUAUUAUUCUAAAGGAGAAAUCAUAUUAUCUAAGGCAAGUAGCUGCUUUGCUAAACUCCCUGAUCUCUCCUUAUUGUUGUCUUGCUUGAUUAUCUGGUAAUAUCAUUGCACCUUGAUCCUUAUUGAUCCUCUCUUGAUCCUUGAGAGAGGGAUGUGUUGUUCUCGUAUUCCAUUUGUUGAUGGAAUCAGAGUAUUUUGGAGGAACUCGUGAGAAGUCAUACGCGUAUUGUCUUUGACUGAUAUUACAGUGAUUCUACCGUUGAUUCAAACACAUAUCCUAUUUUGUAUUGGUGUCACGACAGCAAACAUAUUGUAUCGGUCACAGUUCAGGUAUGGGACUGUCUGAGUUCUCCGCUAAGGACGGACCUUGUUCGGGGCGUGACAAAUUGUCACGCCCCAAGUGAGUCUUAGCCGUGACAAUCGCCACAUGCUUAUAAAUCUCAAAUUUAUAAGCAUGUUAGGCUAGUAAACAAAUUAUUUUCCAGUAUGCACAAGAGCCAACUUUAUUCAUUACUAGCUAUUACAAAGGUUAUGAUACAUGCAACUUCUUUAUUUACUCCCAACCCGUAGAUCUACUCCUACUGUUCAUCAUUCUCAUCAGCACAUCCAUCAUUUGCUACUUCUGCAAAAUCAACAACAAUAGCAAGAAUGAGUAUGAUCUCAUACUCAGCAAGCACACGGGUACACAGGAACUUCUCUCAGCAAAUAGUGACAGAACACAGGGGUUAGUUGUAAAGAAAGAGUUUGUUGGCAGAGGAAGAUAAUGGAGAUUAAUUUAAAGAAAAGGAAAGAAAUAACAGACAUCACACAUGACCGCAAGCUUCCCACCCCGGGAGUCACAGGGGUGAAAUUUCACACUUUUACGCUCUUAAGAGGGGUACUCCGACGUCAGCAGCCUCGACUAGAACCACACAGGCGCUAGUAGAGCAGAGCUCUCUAUUCCCCCAAGAACCGCCCACUCGACUUACUAGUGUCGAUCGCUCCUACGGAUCCAUCACCGACACGUUCCUGAACAAGGUCCGUCCUUAGUGGAGAACUCAGACAGUCCCAUACCUGAACUAUGACCGGUACAAUACGUUUGCCGUCGUGAUACCAGAUUUUAUAAAAUUUACUAGACAAGGAUUAGCAAGAGGAAGUACAUGCAAGACCAAAAUAAAUAUCACUAGGCUUUUCACAGAACCAACCAUCCAUGCAUGAGUCAUUAAUCCAUGUGCUCACAUGCAUGUACCAAGGAUUUCUCCACCCUGAUCAUAAACCAAAAGGUAGUACUGUGGUAUGCAUGCUAGCUUCAAGAGAUGUACAGGAAUCAAAUGAACAGUGCACAUUAUAGAGCUUCAGGAGUACUACUAGCUAUAGAGCAUGGCAUGAAUAGCGAGACAAACAAGGAAUAGGACAGCUAGAAAGGCUAGAUGGAACGCAUGCUUGCCUGACUCGCUGCUUCCUCUAAGCGCUCUUGCCGAUCAGUGUGAUUCUACUCCAUGCAAUGCUAGUUAGUGAACUGGUUUGUAUGUUGGGAUGAAUACUACAGCGUGCUCUUGCUCCUCUAUUUAUAGGCAUGGUAGGGUAGGAAAUGGAGCUGGAUAAGUAUAACUCAGCAGCCUCGAAUUGGCUUUUUAGGUUGAUAUCAGAGCUCCCUGAUCUCUCCUUGUUCUAUGCGGGAAUACCCAUUUAAUUUUUUGCAUUAAUUAGUCACAAAUAUACUCAUGAAUAGUUUCAACAGAUAUCCAUGCAAAUAAAUAAUAUAGCGUACAUAUUAUUGGUGAAAUUUGAGGAUGAAUGGGAAAUAAAUAGACAUCUUGUUAGAUUAAUACAUGACUUAAUAUUUGUGUAGAUUUUCUUGUUUAAGACAACUGGUGAUAUUGUUCCAGUAAUGGGACAAUUGCUAUACCACUAUCUAUCCUUUUUGUUAAUGAAUUUACCAAAUAAAAUGUUUAGUGUUGCCAACUUAUGUUAUAGCAGAUAUAUCCAUGAAUUGUAGAAAGAUUGCAAAUCCUUUUUUGCAUUAUUUUUAAUUAAUUAUUGAGCAUGCAUCAAAUAAACUGUUCCAAAUAUGAUGGGAGGGAAUUUGAUCACUAAAAAAAAGCAUAGAUGUUAGUGUUGAAUUUCGGGGACGAAAUUCUUAUAAGGUGGGGAGGAUGUAAUAACCCAUAUUUUUGGGUUAUUGAUUUAAAUUAAGAUAAGUAAUUAAAUUUGUAUUAUCUACUAAGUUAUGCUAAAUUCUUGAUUCAAAGAAUUAAGAUAGAGCUGUAAAUUUUUUUACAUGCAUUAAAUAUUAGAAAAUUACACACUAAGUAAGAGUAGGUGCAUGUGCGCAUAGACUUGCAUUCAUGCUCACGUUGUGAUAUAGGCAUGGGAAAUACUACUAGCUAGUUGGCCAUAUAAGCUAGACAAUUACAAGAGAGUUAACGUUGCAUUUGAAUAGAUGAAAUUAGACCAGGUACAAAUGAUACACCGGUAGAUAUUUUCUAGUACUAGAGCUCCAAGUCAAAUAGGUGCAUGUAUGUAAUCAUGAGGAAGAGGCAACGUGGCUUGGUUCUAGAGGAUAUGCAUGCAUGUGUCAGGUGUUUUGAAAACUCUAGUGAAUCAACUACACGUAUAGAAGAGGAAUGGAAGCAAACGUGGGUAGAUGCAUGCAUCGGCUGUAUCUCUAGAAACCCAAGUUUCCUACAUGGGCUGCAACAUGGCCAAGUACUAGAGGAACAUAGAAAUAGAAAAUAGAAGUCAGCUUUUACGUGUCCUAUACGUGGCCAUUUCUUAGUGCUUAAGUGAGAGUCAGGCCAAGAUAUUUUAGACUUGCACGGGCGCUCGCCUCCUAUAAAUAGCUGUGGGUCACGCUGCUCAAAGCACAGCUCUGAGAGAAAGACAUAGACACUGGAGGAGAGAGCCUGAGAAAAAGAAAUACACCAGAAAGAUAAAGAAGAGAGAUGAAGAAUUCAUGCAUGCAUCCACAUUUGAAGAAGAAUAGAGCGUUUAGGUGCUGCUGGAGGGAAGAGCCGAGCCAUACAUCAGAAGAAAUGUGAGUAUAUGUGUGUUCGGCACAUUUUAUACAAAGAUGAUGGAGUUUCAUCUUCUUGCAAAAUAUUAUUCUAAAGGAGAAAUCAUAUUAUCUGAGGCAAGUAGCUGCUUUGCCUAACUCCCCGAUCUCGCUUUAUUGUUGUCUUCUUUGAUUAUCGGUUAAUAUUGUUGCACCUUGAUCCUUAUUGAUCCUCUCUUGAUCCUUAAGAGAGGGAUGUGUUGUCCUCGUAUUCCAUUUGUUGAUGGAAUCAUAGUAUUUUGGAGGAACUCGUGAGAAGUCAUACACGUAUUGUCUUUGACUGAUAUUACAGUGAUUCUACCGUUGAUUCAAACACAUAUCCUAUUUUGUAUUGGUGUCAUGACGGCAAACAUAUUGUACCGGUCACAGUUCAGGUAUGGGACUGUCUGAGUUCUCCGCUAAGGACGGACCUUGUUCGGGAACGUGUCGGUGAUGGAUCCGUAAGAGCGAUCGACAUCAGUAGGUCCAGGUGUUCGGGUCUUAGUGGGUACAAGAGCUCUGCUCUUCUGGAACCUGUGUGGUUCUAGUCGAGACUGUCGACGUCGGAGUACGCCUCUUAAGAGCGUAAAAGUGUGAAAUUUCACCCCUGUGACUCCCGGGUUGGGAAGCUUGCGGUCAUGUGUGAUGCCAAUAAUUUCCUUGUUCAUUUCGUCUGUUGAUCUACACCAUCAUACCAUCGCUCCUUGUUGAAUAGUGAAGUAUCUGCUUGCUGAGUAUGAUUUGUCGUACUCACCCUUGCUUCCUCUGUUUUUUUAGAUGCGAACGAGGUAACUUAAGUAUGUUCAACUUAAGUAUGUUCAGAAGAUGUCUUCAUCCAAGACUAGGCUUGACCAGCGGGUGGGAAGCGACUAGAGAAUAUGAUGUCUUUACUCAACUAUUUGUAGAUGUCAAGGAAUUUGUAUAGUAAAUAUAUUAGCUUUUGUGAUCCACUUCUGGUUUAUGCCUGCUUUAUCAUGCCUUGCGUGACUAUAGUCCUCCUGGUCUAUAGGAGCGCGGCGGCUGUCUCGCCUAGGCCCGGUCUCGGGGCGUGACAGUUAAGGCGUGAUUAAUUAAGCAUUAACCAUCAGUGGAUCACAAAAGCUCAUAUAUAUUGACUACAGAAAUUUCUUUACAUGUACAAAUAGACAAAAUACAUUAAAAUCUCUAGUCGUUUCCCACCCACUCGUCGAGCCUAUUCUUGGAUGACAUCUUCUGGGCAUACUUAAGUUACACCGACUGCAUCUAAGAAAUAGAGGAGACAAGGGUGAGUACGAUAAAUCAUACUCAGCAAGCAAAUACUUCACUAUUCAAUAAGGAGCAAUGGUAUGAUGGUGUAGAUCAACAGACGAACUGAAUUCAGAGGAUAACAAUAUAACAACCAUUGGAAUCAUAUUUUGAUGUAAAUGGACAAAAGAACAAAAUACCAGAUUUAGUAAAAACAACAAGGAAUCUAUUGGCAUCACACAUGACCGCAAGCUUCCCAACCCGGGAGUCACAGGGGUGAAAUUUCACACUUUUACGCUCUUAAGAGUGGUACUCCGACGUCGACAGCCUCGACUAGAACCACACAGGCGCUAGUAGAGCAGAGCUCUCUAUUUCCCCAAGAACCGCCCACUCGACUUACUAGUGUCGAUCGCUCCUACGGAUCCAUCACCGACACGUUCCUGAACAAGGUCCGUCCUUAGCGGAGAACUCAGACAGUCCCAUACCUGAACUGUGACCGGUACAAUACGUUUGCCGUCGUGAUACCAGAUUUUAUAAAAUUUACUAGACAAGGAUUAGCAAGAGGAAGUACAUGCAAGACCAAAGUAAAUAUCACUAGGCUUUUCACAGAACCAACCAUCCAUGCAUGAGCCAUUAAUCCAUGUGCUCACAUGCAUGUACCAAGGAUUUCUCCACCGUGAUCAUAAACCAAAAGGUAGUACUAUGGUAUGCAUGCUAGCUUCAAGAGAUGUAUAGGAAUCAAAUGAACAGUGCACACUAUAGAGCUUCAGGAGUACUACUAGCUAUAGAGCAUGGCAUGAACAGCGAGACAAACAAGGAAUAGGACAACUAGAAACGCUAGAUGGAAUGCAUGCUUGCCUGACUCGCCGCUUCCUCUGAGGACUCUUGCCGAUCAGUGUGAUUCUACUCCAUGCAAUGCUAGUUAGUGAACUGGUUUGUAUGUUGGGAUGAAUACUACAGCGUGCUCUUGCUCCUCUAUUUAUAGGCAUGGUAGGGUAGGAAAUGGAGCUGGAUAAGUAUAACUCAGCAACCUCGAAUUGGCUUUUUAGGUUGAUAUCAGAGCUCCCUGAUCUCUCCUUGUUCUAUGCGGGAAUACCCGUUUAAUUUUUUGCAUUAAUUAGUCACAAAUAUACUCAUGAAUAGUUUCAACAGAUAUCCAUGCAAAUAAAUAAUAUAGCGUACAUAUUAUUGGUGAAAUUUGAGGAUGAAUGGGAAAUAAAUAGACAUCUUGUUAGAUUAAUACAUGACUUAAUAUUUGUGUAGAUUUUCUUGUUUAAGACAACCGGUGAUAUUGUUCUAGUAAUGGGACAAUUGCUAUACCACUAUCUAUCCUUUUUGUUAAUGAAUUUACCAAAUAAAAUGUUUAGUGUUGCCAACUUAUGUUAUAGCAGAUAUAUCCAUGAAUUGUAGAAAGAUUGCAAAUCCUUUUAUGCAUUAUUUUUAAUUAAUUAUUGAGCAUGCAUCAAAUAAACUGUUCCAAAUAUGAUGGGAGGGAAUUUGAUCACUAAAAAAAAGCAUAGAUGUUAGUGUUGAAUUUCGGGGACGAAAUUCUUAUAAGGUGGGAAGGAUGUAAUAACCCAUAUUUUUGGGUUAUUGAUUUAAAUUAAGAUAAGUAAUUAAAUUUGUAUUAUCUACUAAGUUAUGCUAAAUUCUUGAUUCAAAGAAUUAAGAUAGAGCUGUAAAUUUUUUUACAUGCAUUAAAUAUUAGAAAAUUACACACUAAGUAAGAGUAGGUGCAUGUGCGCAUAGACUUGCAUUCAUGCUCACGUUGUGAUAUAGGCAUGGGAAAUACUACUAGCUAGUUGGCCAUAUAAGCUAGACAAUUACAAGAGAGUUAACGUUGCAUUUGAAUAGAUGAAAUUAGACCAGGUACAAAUGAUACACCGGUAGAUAUUUUCUAGUACUAGAGCUCCAAGUCAAAUAGGUGCAUGUAUGUAAUCAUGAGGAAGAGGCAACGUGGCUUGGUUCUAGAGGAUAUGCAUGCAUGUGUCAGGUGUUUUGAAAACUCUAGUGAAUCAACUACACGUAUAGAAGAGGAAUGGAAGCAAACGUGGGUAGAUGCAUGCAUCGGCUGUAUCUCUAGAAACCCAAGUUUCCUACAUGGGCUGCAACAUGGCCAAGUACUAGAGGAACAUAGAAAUAGAAAAUAGAAGUCAGCUUUUACGUGUCCUAUACGUGGCCAUUUCUUAGUGCUUAAGUGAGAGUCAGGCCAAGAUAUUUUAGACUUGCACGGGCGCUCGCCUCCUAUAAAUAGGAGUGGGUCACGCUGCUCAAAGCACAGCUCUGAGAGAAAGACAUAGACACUGGAGGAGAGAGCCUGAGAGAAAGAAAUACACCAGAAAGAUAAAGAAGAGAGAUGAAGAAUUCAUGCAUGCAUCCACAUUUGAAGAAGAAUAGAGCGUUUAGGUGCUGCUGGAGGGAAGAGCCGAGCCAUACAUCAGAAGAAAUGUGAGUAUAUGUGUGUUCGGCACAUUUUAUACAAAGAUGAUGGAGUUUCAUCUUCUUGCAAAAUAUUAUUCUAAAGGAGAAAUCAUAUUAUCUGAGGCAAGUAGCUGCUUUGCCUAACUCCCCGAUCUCGCUUUAUUGUUGUCUUCUUUGAUUAUCGGUUAAUAUUGUUGCACCUUGAUCCUUAUUGAUCCUCUCUUGAUCCUUAAGAGAGGGAUGUGUUGUCCUCGUAUUCCAUUUGUUGAUGGAAUCAUAGUAUUUUGGAGGAACUCGUGAGAAGUCAUACACGUAUUGUCUUUGACUGAUAUUACAGUGAUUCUACCGUUGAUUCAAACACAUAUCCUAUUUUGUAUUGGUGUCAUGACGGCAAACAUAUUGUACCGGUCACAGUUCAGGUAUGGGACUGUCUGAGUUCUCCGCUAAGGACGGACCUUGUUCGGGAACGUGUCGGUGAUGGAUCCGUAGGAGCGAUCGACAUCAGUAGGUCCAGGUGUUCGGGUCUUAGUGGGUACAAGAGCUCUGCUCUUCUGGAACCUGUGUGGUUCUAGUCGAGACUGUCGACGUCGGAGUACGCCUCUUAAGAGCGUAAAAGUGUGAAAUUUCACCCCUGUGACUCCCGGGUUGGGAAGCUUGCGGUCAUGUGUGAUGCCAAUAAUUUCCUUGUUCAUUUCGUCUGUUGAUCUACACCAUCAUACCAUCGCUCCUUGUUGAAUAGUGAAGUAUCUGCUUGCUGAGUAUGAUUUGUCGUACUCACCCUUGCUUCCUCUGUUUUUUUAGAUGCGAACGAGGUAACUUAAGUAUGUUCAACUUAAGUAUGUUCAGAAGAUGUCUUCAUCCAAGACUAGGCUUGACCAGCGGGUGGGAAGCGACUAGAGAAUAUGAUGUCUUUACUCAACUAUUUGUAGAUGUCAAGGAAUUUGUAUAGUAAAUAUAUUAGCUUUUGUGAUCCACUUCUGGUUUAUGCCUUCUUUAUCAUGCCUUGCGUGACUAUAGUCCUCCUUGUCUAUAGGCGCGCGGCGGCUGUCUCGCCUAGGCCCGGUCUCGGGGCGUGACAGUUAAGGCGUGAUUAAUUAAGCAUUAACCAUCAGUGGAUCACAAAAGCUCAUAUAUAUUGACGACAGAAAUUUCUUUACAUAUACAAAUAGACAAAAU